GGAGUGGUACCCAAGCUGGCUGAAGGGGACGGUUUGCUAAAUCGUUAGUCGAGUGAUCGAGCGUGGGUUCGAAUCCCACCCACUCCGCCA
rnacentral:tRNA from 1 species